GCACCAUUAGCUCAGUCGGUAGAGCAACUGACUCUUAAUCAGUGGGUCCUGGGUUCGAGUCCCCGAUGGUGCA
rnacentral:tRNA from 2 species